AUAUCAAUAAGCGGAGGAAAAGAAACCAACAGGGAUUGCCUCAGUAACGGCGAGUGAAGCGGCAAAAGCUCAAAUUUGAAAUCUGGCUCUUUCAGGGUCCGAGUUGUAAUUUGUAGAAGAUGCUUCGGGUGUGGUUCCGGUCUAAGUUCCUUGGAACAGGACGUCAUAGAGGGUGAGAAUCCCGUAUGUGACUGGAUACCUAUGCUCAUGUGAAGCUCUUUCGACGAGUCGAGUUGUUUGGGAAUGCAGCUCAAAAUGGGUGGUAUAUUUCAUCUAAAGCUAAAUAUUGGCCAGAGACCGAUAGCGCACAAGUAGAGUGAUCGAAAGAUGAAAAGCACUUUGGAAAGAGAGUUAAACAGUAC
rnacentral:rRNA from 1 species